AGGGGGGCGCCGCGGGCUGGCGGGCAGGAAGCGCGGGCGUCUGCCCUCCCGCCGCCCGUUUCGAGGUCGUGGAGAGGAGAGGAAAUGGCCCCGGAGCAACCACGCAGCUGCCUGAUCGUCUGGCCCGACCGCGCCUCAGUAGAUUUGGGUCCUGGUCUGAGCAGCCGGGCUGGUGCGGGUGUCCUCACUAGGAUAAUGAAUACAGCUCCACUACCUAUACUACCCAAGACGACCCCUCACACGCUCUGCGAGGAAACCGGUCUUCGGACCUGUGCCCCCAACCUGGUGGCCUGCACCAGUGAUAGGGCAAUUUGACUCCUAGUCGUGGGGGCUUGUGAUACUAUCUCUACCUACAGACACCCACUGCCUGUCACUGCACAGUAAACCUUCCUGCUCCACAGGGCUGCCUCCCCACUGGAAUUCCCACCGUGUUCCUGGUUCUGGAAAGUCUGUUUUCCCGGGUGGCCAUGAUACCCUCCCUACUACUCCACUUCUUCCUUGCAGUCACAAGCAGCAGAGUGGAAUGGGAGCUCGACACUGACUAGGCCUUUAACAGUCCUAAGUGCAACAGAAGAGCUGCAGCUUUCAGACAGACAGAGUGAAAGGUUUCUCAUUAGCAUCCCUCAACCUCGGGAAGCUUCUCCCGGUCCCGAAGGCUAAGAGCCUUUUCCAGCAGCCAGCCUUGCAAUGCUACCCUUCUCCUCCACCUCUGAAGCUUUGAGAUUGGGCCACCAUGUUGGACUAGGAUUGCAGAAGGCCAUUGCUGGUUCUGCACUUUCCUUUGAGCUUAGACGUCACAACUCAUCAUGCAAUUGUGAUUAUUACAGUCCUUUCUGCAGUGCCAGUGUACCCACCAGGCUGGACACUUCAAAAUGGCAGGGCUAUAUCUGUGUGGCUACUACUACCUUGCAGCAAGGCUUGUUGAGCCCUUACAGUACUAUAGAUGUCUUGGCCAGCUGGUUUGUUGUUAUAGCGACAGUGGACUGCAGUGUUCUGCUGAGACAACCGAGAAUUCCUCCAGACAUGACUCAAACAUCCCCAAGUGACAAAAUUACCUAGAAUUGAUAGCCUCCUCUCUCUCCACAGCCUAUCCUGGCGUCCCUGAAAUAAAUGAAUGCACAGCUCUGCUCUGUCUUAGAA
rnacentral:lncRNA from 1 species